rnacentral:lncRNA from 1 species
UUAUAAAGAAAAGAGAUUUAAUUGGCUGAAGGUUCUGCAGGCUGUACAAGCACGGUGCAAGCAUCUGCUUGGCUUCUGGAGAGGCCUCAGGGAGUGUUUACUCAUGGUUGAAGGCAAAUUUAAUUGGCUGAAGGUUCUGCAGGCUGUACAAGCACGGUGCAAGCAUCUGCUUGGCUUCUGGAGAGGCCUCAGGGAGUGUUUACUCAUGGUUGAAGGCAAGGCAGGAGCUUGAAUGUCACAUGGUGAAAGAAGGAGCAAGAGAGAGAGAGUGGGGGAGAAGCCACACACUUUAAACAACCAGAUCACAUGGGAGCUCACUCACUAUCACAAGGACAACAUUAAGCCAUGAGGGAUCUG